ACGGAAGGCAGCAGUGGGGAAUAUUGCACAAUGGGGGAAACCCUGAUGCAGCGACGCCGCGUGAGUGAAGAAGUUAUUCGUAAUGUAAAGCUCUAUCAGCAGGGAAGAAAAUGACGGUACCUGACUAAGAAGCCCCGGCUAACUACGUGCCAGCAGCCGCGGUAAUACGUAGGGGGCAAGCGUUAUCCGGAUUUACUGGGUGUAAAGGGAGCGUAGACGGUCUGGCAAGUCUGAUGCGAAAGGCAGGGGCUCAACUCCUGGACUGCAUUGGAAACUGUCAGUCUUGAGUGCCGGAGAGGUAAGCGGAAUUCCUAGUGUAGCGGUGAAAUGCGUAGAUAUUAGGAGGAACACCAGUGGCGAAGGCGGCUUACUGGACGGUAACUGACGUUGAGGCUCGAAAGCGUGGGGAGCAAACAGGAUUAGAUACCCUGGUA
rnacentral:rRNA from 1 species